GCCCUGGUGGUCCAGUGGUUAAGACUCUGCACUUCCAAUGCCGGGGGCAUGGGUUCAACUCCUGAUCUGGGAA
rnacentral:tRNA from 1 species